rnacentral:lncRNA from 1 species
CAAUAAUCCAAGCAAACUCAUCAGUUCAAGGAUAUUAAAUCAAAAUCUAUUUACUAUUGAGUAGGAUUUAGUUUAAGAUAGAAGCUUCCUGGAAAGCCAAAUCUGGGGCUUAGUGAGAUCAUCUUACUCUAGAAAUGAUGUCAGAAGGCUGUUUGGGUGCUUACCUAGGAAGGUACCAGGGUUCUGUUAUUGAUCGAUCUGUACAAAAUAAUUUAUCAUGUCAAUGCCUUUUCUUCUUCCUAUCUGAUUACUUCUUAUUGAUGAAUCUCUUAUUUUAGCAUUAUCAAAAGGUCAUGAGCCAAUACUAUAUCUAAUUCAAAAAGGCCUUAUUAGGCUUAUAUCAUAUCAACCUUAAGAACUG